rnacentral:sRNA from 1 species
GUACCGGAAAGGAGGUGAUCCGAGAAGUGAAGACUCUUCGGACCAGCGAGGUGGUCGCGGGCUGAACCCCGCGACCACCGGGACCCGCGGGUGCCGUGCCCUCGUCCAGCACGGCAGGAGACGACCUCCGACCCGCGGGUCUCCCUAU